rnacentral:tRNA from 1 species
UCUAAUAUGGCAGAACAGUGCGAAGGACUUAAGAUCCUUAAACAAAAACAAGCUUUUUUUUUAGAA